GGGUGGAGGACAAGGUUCAAUCAGACACAGCCCUCGCCUUUUACUAGGGCUGUCCGUGGACCUUGUUCAUACAAUUCACCCUUACCAAUUUUUCAGCAUCCAGCUCGUCUCUGGGAA
rnacentral:snRNA from 1 species